CCUUAGGAUUGGACGCGUUCAUCUUGAAGUACUUAAUUAGCAUUGACCUUUGGGAUUUCAGACACUCCACAACAUCUUUCAGGUUGCCUGUUGACUUGUACGUAACCAUGUGCAUACCAGGAAGGUGUACUUGCAUCUGCAGGACAGGCGGCCACAUUGAAUACAACUUAAAACCAAACAACCAGUAGGCUGCUUCUAUAGCUGUUAUCAUCCUUGCAUCACUGCUUGAUCUCAUUGAUUACCACGUGCUCAUUUCCUUUUGCAUCAACAGUAAAUGAUGCUCGAUCACGGCCUUUAUAAAUGUAUUUGUAUUGAUAUUUAAUUGACUUGAUGCUGCUACAAAUCUCAACAUUGAUAUGGCAGUUAUACCUCAUAAGGAGCAUUGGGUUAUAAGGAACCACCCAUCUGUUAUCCAAUUCCUCUCCCCUAACCUUCACUUUCUAACCAUCUUCCCACCUUCUAUAUAUUGGAUAUGUGCCCUUUCCUUGUUGUGUCGUUUCACUGAAACGACAC
rnacentral:lncRNA from 1 species